UAAUUUGGCUUUGUGUUUACACACAAUCUGUUUCCCCCUCUGGCAACCUGCAGCUCAUGUUUUGCAUUAAGAAGACACACCCAGUUGCCACUGCUUUCCCUGGUGGCUUGUUGAUUCAAAAGUGAAAACAAACUGUUGACUGAUAUGUGAGAACAUUUGCUAGUAUGGGAAAUAAAACAUUGUAUUGUCUUCUACCUCCUUUAUAAGUUGACAAUUUUAUGCAUAGUAUAAGUAUGUGUGUAAUUCACAUUCACUAUGGCUCUGUCAAUGUAUCUCUCUCUAUGGCUUUUUUUUUCCCCCUUCAGGGUAAUCGAUAGAGUAGUAUCAUCCUAUUUUCUACAAAACAAGAAAAUCCACCAUCACAUAUCAGUCAGGUUUAAAUUCAUUGAAUAACUAAAUUCAGUUAGAUUUUGUUAGGGCUAUGCAUUCAAGGAUAGCCUCUCCUUUGCUCUUAUCUCCUGAAUACUGAAAGGAAGAAAUUAUUUGUUUCUCUUUGAGGCUAUUCCAAACCUGAGGCAUCUCGUGGCUGUGCAAUACUGUUUCUAAAUAAAGUGUAAAUUCCUGAUUUGGGGCGAAGCUGAGAUUAUGUACCAAGUACCAGCCAACAAUAUUCUGACUCAAUGUACAGCAGUGUGGCAAUGAGGCUUUGAGAAAGUAUGAUUUAUUACCCUUUGUGAAUGUGCUGAAAGCCAGGUUUCAUAUAAUCACCCAGGACUAGUGUCAUAUUUGAAGGGUAUCGAAAUCCAAUAUCCUCUAAAAGUAAGUGUAUCUAAUUAAUUGUCCUAAUAUUUUUAGAUUAGUGUUUAUGAUGGGGAAACCUUAUCCUCUUUGAAGUAAAAUCCAGAAAAGGCCCAAAGCCUGGGCUGGGGAAGGGGAGAACUAGGAAUGCCAGUUUGCAGACAGAAGUAUUUCUUUCUGUUCAAUAAGUGUCAAAGAUUAAUAUUACAGAAUCUCUGAUUACAUGGCCUAAUCCAUUUUGGUGAAUAAAUUUGUUCUUGAUGUCUAUUGCACCUACAUUAACAGACCCUUCUCUGUUAGAGAGCCUGGGAGCCUUUGGGAGAGAUUUCAGAUAUAUUAAACCCCAUUACAGAAAAUGUAAUUUCUGUCAAUAUAAUCCCAUGUAUUCUUCAAUUUAGUAUUUUAGAGAUAACAAGCUACUUACAAUAUAUUUGCCUUUGGAGGAUUAAUUUACAAAGUGCACUAUCUGCAAGACACAGACAGACUCACAUAAGAAUUGCUUGUAAGGGUUAUCAAUUUCUAUGACCUUACUGCUGCCUUGAGAGAUCAAUUUUUGCAGCCCUUUUCAUCAGUGGAUGGUAAACCAAGCAAAGGCAUACUACAUCUAAAUGUGUUACUACGAGUUGUGUGGCUGCUGAGGUUUUUUGUUUGCCUAUUUCUACCUGCUACUGUGUCUUAAUUUUCAAGGCUGUUAAUACUACAUAUUGGAAAUUUCAAAUAUGUAAUAAUUUCAUAUUUGAAAUAUGAAAUUUCAAAUAUGUAAUAUUUGAAAUAUAAUAUCCUGGAUGAUAUUAUAGGGGAGACCAUCAAUUUUGCGUGCACAUCUAGAUUCAUAUAUCUGUAUUUUAAAACUUAAAGCUGAUGUUGAGACAGUUUUAAUACAAUGGAGGCUGCACAAAUGUCCGCAUUUCCCUGGGAAGUGUUCCUGUUUGCGGGCAAAGGAGUGGCAGGACAAGCUCUCUAGUUAAGAAACGAAAAGCGCUGUCAUUCAGGGGAUCUAUCCUGUGAGCCAUCUCUCUUCCUCUGCAGGGUUGCUAGCAAACUCCACUCAUAAACACAGUUACCAGAGAACAAAUCCCAAUACAAGUUGCUUACUAUGGGUGGACGGCCUUAUUAUGGGAUAUUUCCUGUGAAUGCAGGAAGAGGAAGGCAUUCUUGUGACUUCAAGCAAUAUAUAUAUACACACAGUUUUCUAAAUUCUAUGCACAGUCUCUGCCGGAGAGCAAUCUUCCUAAUCAGUCCAUGAUCACAAUUCGACUUUCUCAGUUUUGUAACCAGAAGGGAGAGAAAGGAUGUUUAAAAAGUUUUAAUUCACACUCUAAAAUAAUUUUAAAGUAUAUGCAGACUUUACCCUAAACUUCACACUGCUAUUCAAUUCUGCACGGGUAAAUAACUUAAAAAUAGCUUUUAAUUAGUUAUUUGGGACAGAAACACAAUUCUGUGCUUAACUGCCACUUUGUGCAGUGUGUGGUUUCUCUCUACUUGUAUAUAUAUGGAGUUAGAAGUGGCUUUUGCUUGCACCACAGUGCUUUGCAUUUGGCAAUUGUUUCAACAUUUAACAAUGUUGUUUGCUGUAGAAAAUGUCCCUCAAGUAACUAAAAGUUGUAAGAGAGAUUGUUUUUCUUUAGUUUGACAAAUAAUGACAAUACCAUGUUUGAUUUGAAUUUUUAAUGGUUUAUUAAUUUUUAUAGAAACCUCUUCCUGUUUUGUUUUGUUUUGUUUUGUUUUGUUUUGUUUUGUUUUGUUUUGUUUUGAUACCGAGUCCUGCUCUGUUGUCCGGGCUGGAGUGCAGUGGUGUGAACAUGGCUCACUGCAACCUCCAACUCCUAGCUCAAGUAAUCCUCCUGACUCAGCCUCCCCAGUAGUUGGGAAUACAGGCAUAUGCCACCAUGCCCAGUUAAUUUUUUUUUCUUUUGUUGAGGCAGGGGUUUUGCUAUGUUGCCCAGGCUGGUCUCUAACUCCAGGGCUCAAGAGAUCCACCCACUUCAGCCUCCCAAAGUGCUGGGAUUACAGGCGUGAGCUACUGCACCCACUUAUAAACAUUUUUUAUAAAAAAUGUUUUUCAUCUUAGCUAUACUGAGCAUCGGUACAAGUUAUUUUCUACUAAAAAUAAUAAUUUUGAAAAUGUCAUCAUUAGUAUUUCUGUGUUUCCCUUUCAUUUAUUUAUCCACAACUUUUAAACAUCUGUGUCUUCCUUCUUGGAUUUCUUAAAACUUGUUAAUACACAUGUACAUUUUUGUAUGAACUAUGAGUCACUGUUGAAAUGCAAUUCAAUAAAAUGCUGAAGGACAGGUUGAGUGUAGAUCAGUCAUAAUUAUUAGCAGUAACAUAAUGUAUCAAAAUAUAUAAUAUGUAAGUGAAAAAUAUAAACUCAUGUCUAGUUGUUAGAGUGUCAUAGAAAUCCUGGCUGAUGCAGUUUUAAGUUAGGCUUUGACUGAAAAAUAGACAAGAAGUUUGCUACAUUUUAAUGGUUCUUUCACUUCAUCACUGAACUAAUUUUACAUUUCUCGAAUUGACAGUGAUAUAUACUACCUGCCUCAGGUGGCUAAGGCUAAAGUACAUGGGAUUUGAGGGGAGAAAGGCAAAAGAGGAGAGAACUUAAAAGUAAAACAAUAAGACUGAUUUGAUUAAUUAAGAGAAAAUCUGGAAAAAAGAAAAUCUCGUUAUAACUCUUAUUUUGGUCCAAUUGUCAGAAUAAAAAUGGAGAGAAAGAAUCUUAAAAUGGUUGGCAUCAGUACUUACAGCAUGUGGGCCCUAGGAUGGAAUGUGAAAUUUAUUAGAUGUGACAUUGUGGGCCAAGUCUAUGCCAAUAAAUUUUUUGAGAAUUGAGGCAAUUAUGUAAAUAAUUUGAGUAAAAUAUUUUUAAAUAAAUUAUCUAAGUAUUUGAUGUGACUGCAUAUUUUUAAAAAAUCAACCUCCAUAACUAGUUGUCUAAAUAUUUCAAUCUAGUAUGUUGUGGUUGACUUAGAUUUAAAAGUGUAAUCAUUUUCGAAACAUAAUAUGCACCAGAGAUUUAUGUAUUCUUCCUUCUUUGGUCCCUUGCUCCCAAUUAUAAUUUUAUCCAAAAAUGAUAAAUAAUAGCAUCAGGGGCUUUUGUCUCUUUGCUUUUUUACUGUUGUUGUGGUUUUAACAAAUACUUAUGUUAUAUCAGCAGUGCAAACAUUACCAAUAUGCAAAUGUUUUAGUAAUUUAAGUAGAAACAUCUUAAAUUUUGAGAUUAGAUGGUUGUUUAGACCUUUAAGUAUUUAAGUAGAACUUUAUGGAAGACACACACACACACACACACACACACACAAUCAAUACUUGGUUGUUUUUUCUCCUGAAUAGACCAACUUAAUUUUUUUAUAUUGAAAAUGUGAGUGUAGAAUGGUCAGAUAAAAAUUCCCUUAUACAUGAUCACACCAGUGUUGCGGACCUGGGAAUUCCCUGUGAUGAAAACUUAUCUCUUGUACUUGUGUCGUACUUACUGGAUGCCUCAGUUGCCUCCUGCCUCAGCAGAGUUUUGGCCUAGGGUGUACUGAAUACAUUUUACAGUUUCUUUGUUUACUACUCCUCAUCCAAACACUUUCCUAUUAAGUUCUGAUAUUAAAUGAUUAUCCCUUUAUGCUCUGAGAAGGCAAUAUGGGUUUUAGGUGCAAAAUAUAUAGUGUAUGUGAAAUACAGUAUUUAUAUAUAGAGAAAAAUUAUUCUCCAUCAAGAGAGCAUAUAAAAUUCCAGGUUCCAUCCUAGCAGCCAAGAUGACACUGUUCAGAACUAUGGUACUCUACAUUUCUUAGAUUUAGUGCUCAUACCAGAUUUUCCUAGUUAUUUCAUUUAUUGCUUUCAAAGCUGCAAAGCAUUCAGGCAUCACUUCCCAUUUAUUAUGAGUGGGAAAAAAGUAUGUUAUCCUUGGAGAUUUAUGCCACUGGCAAGUAAAAAUGUAAACUUAUUUUUUAAAAAUAAGAUCUCCUUUAUUAUAAUAAACAGAUUCAGCUGUUAAAGGUCAAGUUUCUUUCUGAGUUAUGGUAAUAAUAUAGCAAAUACUUUUACAAAUAAUCAAAGAUUCUAUAAAUAUAGGUACCUGUUUAGAUGUAAAUGUUAAAACAUUCACAAAUUAUCCUUUCAACUUCUGUGAUCUAAAAAUCAAUAGGGGUCAUAGGGUUUCAUAGAAUUGUUCUGCUUUUUCUUCCAACAUAAUUUAAUAAUACAUUUUACAGAUGUUGUUUGAAUAUUAGACACAGAUUGUUUUGUCAAUAAAGUUAAACAGAGGUAUGACACAAAAGCAAGGAAAACAGAUGUAAAAAAAAGAAAAAAACAGUACACGAUGCAAGAAGCUCUGGGUCACUUGUUUGCUAUUCAACUACAAAAUUAAAGUGUGGGCUGUAUGGUGAUUUUCCUUGCCUAGGAAUCACCUAGGGAUGGAACAGCUUCACACAUAGAAAGUAAUUGUAUUAAGCAGGUGGUUUAACUUUUUCCCUUGAGAAUUGAAGUGUAACCUACAUUUAAAGUAGACUUCCUAAUUGAUCAAUGGAGUAACAGGUGCGGUAUAUUAAAAAGAAAAAGGAGAAAUAUAAAUGGAAGAACUCCCCAGAAUAUUUCAGAAUGGGUUGUUGUUCUUCAAGCCUCGGUUAAUUGCUAUGCUUUUCACCUUGAGUGUCAAUUCUAAUAAUAUUACCUUUACAGACGCUUACUCUGGGCUUAGAUUAUAGCAAUCAGUAAUACUCACUAGAUAAAAUACUGUCUAGUUGCUCAUAAGAAAAUAUUGAAAUCAGUCAAAAAAUGUUUAGCUUGCAUAUUGCCUGAGACAGAGCUGGCGGGGCGCCAGACAGGCAGGGUAUUAUUAGGAAAGCUGAGCAAAUAGCUCGCAGGGAAAAGAGCUGUGAAUUUAGAAACCUUCAGGUAUUGUCAUGUCAGAGAGUCUUAAGAGUUCAACAGAGACACUGCUUUUUUUUUCCUUCAGAUUUAAAAAAUUUCCAACAAACAAUCUUCUUUGAAAAUGACUCUGCAGUCUGUUAAAUAUACUUUGUUGUAAGUUUUACACCAUAAGUUUACUCAGAGCUUUUCCCCACUGCAUAAAAUCACAUCGUUAAUACUGUUAAAGACGAAAGCUCCUUAUGAAAGAGUACACUUUGAAACACUGUGCUGGCUGGAAAAACCCUGCCCCUUCCACCAUGGGGCCCUAAGUCUAGGUGAGAAAAGAAAUGAAGGUCUAGGAUGUAGGAAGGGUGGAUUUGAAAGUCCAAAUAUGGUUUUGUGUAACCACUGUUUCUCCUCCAGCCAGCAUUCAAAGGCAGUUGCUGAGCUUCUCAGGAGGACAAGACACUAGCUGGAAGCUGCAAUCCAGCUGGUACAACCUGAGGAAUUAUGUCGGGACCCUGUAGGGUUGGGGUUCAAGUGAGGCUCAGAGUUGAGUGAGUUGGGAGACUGAUUUACCCAGCAGGGACCCAAUGUUUCUGAAUAUCCAUGAUUCAUUUCAAGGCAAUGAAACCAGUGACAACGGAGGUUGACUUUGAACAUGGUAUGCAGGUCAGCACAACUUGUUGCAAAUCCUAAUUAAGCCAGUCUUCUUGUUUUCAGUGUGUCUGUAAGUAUCUGGUCAGAGAAAUGCAAACAACAGGCUGUGGGUCAUGCAACCCGAUGGGGCAGGACUUGACUCCCAUUUCCCUGGAGAGGGCAUAGGGAUGAGGGGCUGAGAGGUGUCACGGUCAAGGGGGAAGAGCUUGGCUACGCCUCAUCCAUAGGUGGCUAAGGUGUAAGCCUCAUGACAAUUUAAAAUUUACACAGGGCAAGUAUGGGAAGGGGAAAUGCAGGGACAGGUCGCUGCAAUCAAAACAUUUCAUCCCUCAUCCCUACUCCUUGGAUUUGGGCGACAGUGUCCUCUGGUUUAAAAUGGACAAGUAGGACGAAUUAGUCAGGACUCAAAGGACUCUUUUAGCUGUAAUAUUCUAGACUGUGUAAUAAUGUGAAUCAAAGAGAAGUAAAGUGUGCGCUCUGAAACUCUCAUUCCAGCUUUAUCCUAGGAGUGGGGAAGGAAAAAAAAUACUUUGAUAAGGAGACAAACAGAGAAAUUAAUUAAAAAGUUGUAGUUGUAACUUUCCUCAUCUUACAUAAGCAAAUCAAACACUGUAAAAUAAAAACUAGAUGAAAUUAAACAUUAUCACAAGACAUGAAAAAGAUGUGUGCUGUCAUUUUAGGAUUCAUAAUAAAGAUAAAUCAGUUGUUUUUAGCAGUGUGCUAUGAGUCUAUGAAGGGCAUGACAGAUAAUAGGCUCGAAAUUUCUGAAGUUAUUGUACAGCAAAAUUUGUUUUUUCCUCAGGCAUUCAAUCUUUUUCUCCAGUAAUUUUGAACAUGACAAACUUUUUAGUGGAUGCAUUAAUAAUCUAUAAGUAAUGGGUUGUCAGGUGUCAGUUAGAUAAGAUUAAAAGACUGUUUAAGCAUUAUCCAUUUGCUUCUUUGCAUGAGUUUUAUAGGUCAGCAGAAAUAACUUUUUGAAUUGUGGUUGUGUGUACGUGUUCUCUCUCUCUCUCUCUCUCUCUCUCGUCUCUCUCCACCCCCCAAACCCCCCUCCCUCUUUCAUUUGGCUCCACUCCAAGCAUACGUGGAAGAACCGUAUUACAUUCCAUAAAUCCUUUGCUGAGGCUGGUGUUGGGUGAUUAACCGUUAAGCACGGAAGCGCAGUACCCAGAGAGACCCUCUCUCUCCUCUCACUUACAUCAUCAUCUGGCUUCAGGCUGUGCCUACAGAAAACAAACAGCAUUUUUGAGUGGUUAAAAAGUCAGCCUGAAAUAUUAAAAAAUGGGGCAAAUGUUGCCUCCUGGUUGAAUAGAACAGUUUUCUUGAAAAAUGGAGUGGAGCCAGGGGCUCGGGGGAAGGAAGUGUUUCCGAGGGCAAACGUUGGUCUUAGAUCCGGUCUGCAUUGCUCCAGUGUGUGCACGCCGAGGAGCUUUCUGUAGACGCUGAGGGUUAUGUUCUGCUUCGUUUUUGAUUUUCAAGGGGAAAGAGGACAUACAAAACAAAAACAAAAAAAAACCUACAACAACAUGGAUGCCUGUAACUUUGGCAAAUAUAAGGCUGUCCUGUUCAAUGCCCUCAUAAAUCAUUAAUAUUUUCCUGUCUAUUUUAUUUUCAUUCUUACAACGCUCUUAGCCUGACCCCUUAAUAUGGAAAAUAAUUAACUCUUUCAUGCUCCUGAUGCCUGAACAAUAACAAAUAAACAAAAGAAUAUUAAUCUGUUCCGACAUAUUUGAGAGGUUUCUUUUCCUUUUUACCCUCUUAACUAACCAGUGCCUCACAAGAUUAGAUCCUAUGGUUGAAGAAGGGGAAAAGUAUUUCCUUUUUCAAACACAUUAACUCCUCCAGGUCUGGGGGAGAUGAUUGGAGCUACAUGUAACUUAGCUCAAAAAUAAAUGUCCUGCCUUUGGUGAGAUCUGGCUUAAUAUUGAUAAAGUCACUUUUUUUUUUUUUUCAAAAACAAUAUGUUGCCUACGGAUGGAAGUUAAUGCACCAUAUAAUUAUACACACAUACACACGUGCAUGUAAGUUUUCAGUAUUUUUACUCUAGGAUGCUAACUAAAUCAAAUGCAAACCAGUAGUCUUGAGGUUUGUUGUCUGGUUGAAGGGUUUUGUUGGCCUAUAUCACUAGGACAUCUGCAGUGGUUGACUUUGUUUGUUUGCUAGUUUGGGUCAUAGUUCAGAUGUACUUGGAAAGGGCCGGGGAGUGGGUAGGGGGAUGUUUUAAAAGCUUAUGGAAAGAAUUGAACAUGUACAAAAAGAUAUAGGAUCUCAGCCCCCUGGCUGGUUACCUGACAAUACUGUUUACAGAAAGGAAAGUAUAGUAGGUUAUGGCAGAGAUUCCUAUCCUCAGGACUUGGGGCGGGGUGGGAGGGGGCGCAGAGAGGGGGUAGCGGGGCACAUAAGAAGCAUGUCACAAUCAUUUUGAGUGAAUAUAGUAUUUAAAAAGCAUAUCGAGAAUUAAAUUUUGUUUUUAGUCAUGCUAUUUCUUUUGAAAUUGCAAAUAACAAAGGAAUAUAAGAUUUUUGAUGUGUCAAAAGGGAGCAUGGAUUAAAAUUUUAGAAACCCUAUGCUACAGAACCAUAAAGUAAAAAUCCUGGGAGGGAGGGAAUUUAUGCAUCAUACGACAGAUGAGGCUCAGGGCUAAUUAGAGGCAGGGCUAGGACUGGUUCCUAGUCCAGUGCUUCUUCCAGUCCACUAGAAUGUACUUAUUUUUAACAGCUUUAUUGAGAUAUAAUUCAUAAACCAUCAUUUCACCCAUUUAAUUCAAUGGUUUUUAGUGUGUUCACAGAGUUGUGUAACCAUCCCCAUAGUCAAUUAAAAGACAUUUUCACCACCUUAAAAAGAAGCCUUGUACCCUUUAGCUAUUGCCCCUCUUUAUACUUCCGUCUCUCUCUCCAACAGCUCCUGGCAACCACUAAUCUACUUUCUGUCUCUAUAUUUGCCUAUUCUAGACAUUUCACCAAUGUGAUCAUGGAAUACGUGGUAUUUUGAGACUGGCUUUUUUCACUAAGCAUAAUGUUUGCAAGGUUCAUCCAUGUCAUAGCAUGUAUUAUCAGCACUUCAUUCCCUUUCAAGGCUGAGCAAUGUUCCAUUGUAUGGAUAUAAGGUAUCUUUUUUUUACCUAUUUAUCAGUGGAUGGGCAUUUGAUAUUCAUCUCUUACCAUUAUAAGCGUUCAUAUACAAGUUUUGGUACCAUUAAGUAUUUUUGGGAAUGACAGUAUAGCAACAAAGACCUGUCUUAGGUUUGUAUAAUUUGGAAAGCACUUUUCAUUCGAUCAUCCCAAUUUCAGCACCUAAACACUGCUAGAAAACUUGCCGGUGAGUGGCAGUUUUCCCACUCAGUUCUCAUAUUCUUCUCACUACACACUGCUCUCACUUUCCCCGCCACUGGGUAGUGUUUUGACUGUGAUAAUUACGAGUGAUGUUCAAAGAAAAGGAAAGUUGGCUGGGCACAGUGGCUCACGCCUGUAAUCCCAGCAUUUUGGGAGGCCGAGGGAGGCGGAUCACCUGAGGUUGGGAGUUCAAGACCAGCCUGAUGAACAUAGAAAAACCCCGUCUCUACUAAAAAUAUAAAAUUAGCUGGGAGUGGGGGUGCAUGCCUGUAAUCCCAGCUACUUGGGAGACUGAGGCAGGAGAAUCGCUUGAACGCAUAAGGCAGAGGUUGCUGUGAGCCGAGAUUGCGCCACUGCACUCCAGCAUGGGCAACAAGAGUGAAACUCCAUCUCAAAAAAAAAAAAAAAAAAAAAAAAAGAAAAAAAGAAAAGAAAAAGAAAAAGGAUAGUCACACUGAAAUCCAGCAACUCAGCAGUAAAAUGCACAAAGUUCCCUCGAAAUGACUUAGAUGACCAUAAGCAUUUUCAAAGAUUUGACAGAUUCCAAGAUGUCAUUUUGCUAAUGUUAUUGUCUUUAUUCGAGAGAUUGUUUUCCUUUAAGUGUGUUUCCAUUUGUAUUUUAAAGGUCUACAGGUUACAUAUUGACAUAUAUUAUUACAUAGAGCUUAGGUUUCAAGCUUUACUCAUUAAAACAGAGGUCACAGUGAACAUUCCAAGGAUGCAUGCAAGCCUCCAUUCAAGUCAAAUCAUCUUCAUUGUGCCAUUCUAUAGCCUAAUUUCAUAACCAGACGGAACUAGAAAUCAAGCUAAAUUUUGAGAUAUCCUCUCUUGACAUGAGCAGAGACUCCAGGUCUAGAGGUUUAUGGUUGCUGAAGACUUGGAGAACUGAGGCAACUACAGGCAAGAUCCUAGAGAAAGGAAGGAGCUCAAAGGUACUCCAAUAUGGAGCUAAGAUUCUUUAAUACCUGAUUAGGGCCAGGCACAGUGGCUUAUGCCUGUAAUCUCAGCACUUUGGGAGGCUGAGGAGGGCAGAUCACCUGAGGUCAGGAGUUUGAGACCAGCCUGGACAACAUGGCGAAACCCUGUCUCUACUAAAAAUAUAAAAAUUAGCUGGGCAUGUUGGUGGGUGCCUAUAAUCUCAGCUACUAGGGAGGCUAAGGCAGGAGAAUCACUUGAACCCAGGAGGCAGAAAUUGCAGUGAGCUGAGAUCGAACCACUGCACUCCAGCCUGGGUGACAGAGAGAGAGAGAGAGAGAGAGAGAGAGACUCUGUCUCAAAGACAAACAAACAAGUAAACAAAAAAACCUGAUGUAUAUGGGGGCUGGUUGCCAUUCUAACACAACGGGGUUUUAAAUUAUUUGGGGGAAACUUUCUUUGGAAAAUAAAACAUAUUUGAUCAUUAAGGUGACCAUGCAUCCCACUUUCCUGGGAGGCUCAUGGUUUAUGCCUGUUGCCCAGUGUAAUUGUUAACAGUGCCUCUUCACUCUCAAACGUGUCCCAGUUUAGAUGACAAAUUAUCUGCUCAUCAUAUUUAUAAUAGAGAUUGGCAGAAAACUAGAAUUUGCUUUAAAUAGAUACAUUUAUUCAGUAAUGUGUAAGGGAUGUUUUGUUAGAUUCAAUUUUAUUGACUUCUUGUGAAUAUGGAAAAAUUGGAAUUUAAAUGAAAAAUGGUUCAUCUAUUAAACUAAAGAGAGACACUUCUGUUCUUUGAAGACAUUAUUAUACCUAUUUUAGCUUUUUCAUUAGUAGAGGAAGUUUUGCUAUAUUAUCCUAGAUCAUGCUAUUGCUUCUACAUUGUGCUAAUAAUCAUUUUAAAUCUAUAUUCUAAACCACUAUUUUUUUUAGCUCCAUAAGGUUAUACAAACUCAAAUUUGGCAAAUUGUCUGUUACAUGUAAGUAAAUAUUUUAUGUUUACUUAAAUAUAAAUAUAAACCCUGUCUCAUUCUGUUGCCUAGGCCGGAAUGCCAUGGUGUGAUCAUGAUUCACUGCAGCCUCCACCUCCUGGAUUUAAGCAAUCCUCCCACUUCAGCUUCCCUAGUAGCUGGGACUACAGGUGUGCACAACCAGACCCAGCUAAUUUUUACAUUUUUUGUAGAGACAGGGUUUUACCAUGUUGCCCAUGGUGAUCUUAUACUCCAGGCUCAAAUGAUCCUCCUGCCUUGGCCUCCAAAAGUGCUGGUAUUAUAGGCAUAAGCCACAACUCCCUGCCAUCACUUUUUUUUUUUUUUUUUUUUUUUAGGAUGAAGUCAUUUCAAAAUUUGCUUUCAAGGAAAAUUUUCUGUAAUAUAUACCAAGUGAUGAAUUAUUUGAAAUUUAUUUUAAUGCCUAAGGCCAAAAUAAUACAUGAGUUUUGAUAUUACUUUGCAUCAUCAUUGUCAACUAGUGAUUGGUUCAUUUCACAAGCUGCUUUAAAGAGAAUUUUAGUGGCUGGGUGCAGUGUCUCACACCCAGCACUUUGGGAGGCCGAGGAGGUUGGAUGGCUUGAGCUCAGGAGUUUGAGAUCAGCCUGGGCAACAUAGUGAAACCUUGUCUCUACAAAAAAAACAAAACGACAAAAACUAGCUAGGCAUGGUGAUGCAUAACUGUAGUCCUCGGAGGCUGAAGUGGGAGGAUCACUCGAGCCAGGGAGGUGGAGGUUGCUAAGCUGUGAUAGUGCCACUACACUCCAGCCUGGGCAACAGAGUGAGACUCUGUCUCAAAAAAAAAAAAAAGAAAGAAAAGAAAAGAAAAUUGUAUAUGUAAUUACCUUCCUCAACUGUGGUAGACAAUUUCAGUUCUUUCUAAAGUAAUUUGGCAAAUACCCCCAACACUGUUAGAGAAGGAAAACUUUUCAUGUGGCUGAUUGAUGGACUUCUUAUGAUUUGACCAAAUUUCAAUAUUAUGUUUAUCAAGUGGGUAGAGAAGAGAGGUGCUCCCUUUUCCCCUCCUGUCUAUUCUCCUCCUGCCGCUGUUCUCUACCUCCCCUACCCGCAGACACACUGAUGAUGUAUUGCAAUCUUGGAACUGUUGGAUCCUGGAGGAGGUUAAGAAACUAGAAAAAGGUGCCAAAAACAUGAUUUCAUAAGGUUUGACUUGAGAAUGAAUCAACUUUCUUGAAUAUCUUAAAAUCAUGUUUCAUGAAAUUUUAUUUCACAAAGAAAGGGAGUGUAGAAGACUUGAACUCUGAAGACCAACAGUUAUGGAUCAUUAAAUCCAAUAUGUAAAUGUAAAUCUAAAAUAAAGAGUUCCAACAGAAAAA